AAGCGGUGGAGCAUGUGGUUAAUUCGAUGCAACGCGAAGAACUUUACCCAGGCUUGACAUCGAGAGACCGCCCUUGGAAACCAGGGUUUCCCUUCGGGGCUCUUUAGACAGGUGUUUGCAUUGGCUGUCGUCAGCUCGUGUCGUGAGAUGUUGGGUUAAGUCCCGCAAUGAGCGCAACCCCUAUUGUUAGUUGCCAUCAUUCAGUUGGGCACUCUAGCGAGACUGCCGGUAAUAAACCGGAGGAAGGUGGGAUGACGUCAAAUCAUCAUGCCCCUUAUGACCUGGGCUACACACGUGCUACAAUGGUUGGUACAACGAGUUGCGAGUCGGUGACGGCGAGCUAAUCUCUUAAAGCCAAUCUCAGUUCGGAUUGUAGGCUGCAACUCGCCUACAUGAAGUCGGAAUCGCUAGUAAUCGCGGAUCAGCACGCCGCGGUGAAUACGUUCCCGGGCCUU
rnacentral:rRNA from 1 species